CUACGGGUCGCUCCAGCUGAGGAUCUUUUACAAUGCACGAAAGUGUGAUAGAGCGAGCCAGAGUGUUGUUCUUAGAACAACUUUUAUCUGCUGUAAAAAGGCAGAUGAAUAAGGACUGGGCAAGACCGGUGCCAGCCGCCGCGGUAAUACCGGCGGUCCAAGUUGCAUCCAUUUUUAUUGGGUCUAAAACAUCCGUAGCUUGCUUUGUAAGUUUCUUGUGAAAUCUCAUGUCUCAAACAUGAGGCUUGCAAGAAAUACUGCAUAGCUAGAGACCGGAAGACGUAAGGAGUAUGAUUGAGGUAGCGGUAAAAUGUGUUAAUCUUGAUCAGACUAACAACGGCGAAGGCACCUUACGAGUACGGAUCUGACAGUGAGGGAUGAAGGCCAGGGGCGCAAAACGGAUUAGAUACCCUCGUAGUC
rnacentral:rRNA from 1 species